AUUGGGGAGCGGAAAUGAGGCCAAAAUGAGGGGGAAUUGGGGGAAAAUUGGGGGGUUGGGGAGCAGAAAUGAGGCCAAAAUGAGGGGGAAUGAGCCCAAAAUGAUGUCCAAACCCCAAAAGGAUGGAAUAGGACCCCCAAAUUGAGGUCCGACCUCCAAAAGGAGGGCACAGGACCCCCAAAAUGAGGUCCAGGUCUACCAAUCUCCCAAAAAGAGGGGACAGGACCCCCAAAAUGAGGUCCAGGACACACAAAACCCCCAAAAGGAGGGCACAGGACCCCCCAAAUUGAGGUCCGACCCCUAGAUGGAGGACACAGGACCCCCACCAUGAACUCCAGGAGGUACAAAGCCCCCAAAAGGAGGGCACAGGACCCCAAAAUUGAGGUCCAGGACCCCCAAAAACCCCAAAAGGAGGGCACAGGACCCCCAAAUAGAGGUCUGACCCCAAAAAGGAGGACACAGGACCCCGAAAAUGAGGUCCAGGUCUACCAAUCCCCCGAAAGGAGGGCACAGGACCCCCGAAAUGAGGCCCAGGUCCCCCCCCAGCCCCCCAGCAGGGUCUCACCGUAGCCCUGGCCGCGGUUGCGGUUCUGGCGGUUGCGUUUGUUGCGGUUGUUGCGGCGGUUGGCUCGUUUUUCGGAGGGUGGAAGGAGUUUCCUGGCCUCCUCUUUGUAUUUGGUGACCAAGGGCUGGGCUUCUUCCUUG
rnacentral:lncRNA from 1 species